rnacentral:misc_RNA from 1 species
CGUCCUCUGUCUCUUCUUCUUCUUCCACCUCCAGGUUUCUUCACCCUUCUCCGCUCAAAGCGAGACUCACCUCACUACCUUCUACGCCUUCGCGUACUUCUUCCUCCCGCUUCUUAUCCUUCUCUCUGUAUCCUGCUAUCUUAAGUAAUUUUCCCCAACUAAUUACCACCGAACGAUUCUCCACCGCCACCUUCACCUUCCACCGGAAGGUCACCGUCUUUCGCACUCCUCCGCUCGAUCCUUCUCGACCUUUUGCUCUCGCAACGACCUUUUCCUCCCAAUCGUACUCAGGACCGCCGUACACCGGCGUACGAUCGCGUACACAGCGCACCGACUAAUUUUCGGGACGAACUUUCCGGUUCGGUGUCUUGUAUUGGACUGUGCAGAAGUGGCACCUUCCAGUUUCUGAACUUACAUCUUGUCAGGAUUGGAAAUCUGGAAGCGGCAACCUGUUCAGAGGACUUAAAAGAGCCUAAUUAUCCAGUUUCAACAAUCACGUGAGUCUUUAAGAGAGGGGAAUAAAUUAUGGAAUUAUGGCGUACCAAAUUCCUCAAAUCGAAAGCUACUGGUCAGUAGCCUUUCUUUUCAAUUUCACAGCAAAGCAAUGACUACUGAUUUUAGCUUUAUCCGCAAUCUGGUAAAGUUUUAAAAGCAAAGAUAAAUUACUCUAGCGACCACGGCGCUCAC